rnacentral:rRNA from 1 species
AACUAUAACGGUCCUAAGGUAGCGAAAUUCCUUGUCAGGUAAGUUCUGACCCGCACGAAAGGUGUAACGAUCUGGGCACUGUCUCAACAACUCGCCCGGCGAAAUUGUAGUACCGGUGAAGAUGCCGGUUACCCGCGACUAGACGGAAAGACCCCAUGGAGCUUUACUGUAGCCUAAUAUUGGAUUUCGGUAUUUCACGUACAGGAUAGGUGGGAGACUGGGAAGCACAGGCGUCAGCUUGUGUGGAGUCGACCUUGGGAUACCACUCUUGGAGUGCUGGAAUUCUAACCUGCGGCUUUGAAGCAAGUCGGGGGACAUUGUUAGGUGGGCAGUUUGACUGGGGCGGUCGCCUCCUAAAGAGUAACGGAGGCGCUCAAAGGUUCGCUCUGCAUGGAUGGAAACCAUGCGUCAGAGUGUAAACGCAAAAGCGAGCCUAACUGCGAGAAUGACGGUUCGAGCAGUAACGAAAGUUGGAGUUAGUGAUCCGGCGGUAUGUGAAUGGAAAUGCCGUCGCUCAACGGAUAAAAGCUACCCUGGGGAUAACAGGCUGAUCUCCCCCAAGAGUCCACAUCGACGGGGAGGUUUGGCACCUCGAUGUCGGCUCAUCGCAUCCUGGGGCUGAAUUCGGUCCCAAGGGUUUGGCUGUUCGCCAAUUAAAGCGGUACGCGAGCUGGGUUCAGAACGUCGUGAGACAGUUCGGUCCCUAUCUGUCGUGGGCGUAGGAUAUUUGCAAGGAGCUGUCCCUAGUACGAGAGGACCGGGAUGGACGCACCUCUGGUGCACCAGUUGUCACGCCAGUGGCACAGCUGGGCAGCUAUGUGCGGAACGGAUAAACGCUGAAGGCAUCUAAGCGUGAAGCCGCCCUUAAGAUAAGAUAUCCCUUCUGUUUACAGAGUAAGACCCCUUGAAGACUACAAGGUUGAUAGGCUCAAAGUGUAAGCACGGUGACGUGUUUAGCUAGCGAGUACUAAUCGGUCGAGGGCUUAACCUU